UCCCUAGUAGCUCAGCUGGUAAAGAAUCCACCUGCAGAAUGGGAGACCUGGGUUCAAUCCCUAGGUUGGGAA
rnacentral:tRNA from 1 species